UACGUAGGGGGCAAGCGUUGUCCGGAAUUAUUGGGCGUAAAGAGCGCGUAGGCGGUCCGAUAAGUCGGCUGUGAAAGUCAGGGGCUCAACCCUUGGAAGCCGGCCGAUACUGUCGGACUAGAGUCCGGAAGAGGCGAGUGGAAUUCCCGGUGUAACGGUGAAAUGUGCAGAUAUCGGGAAGAACACCCGUGGCGAAGGCGGCUCUCUGGGACGGUACUGACGCUGAGACGCGAAAGCGUGGGGAGCGAACAGG
rnacentral:rRNA from 1 species